GACGAACGCUGGCGGCGUGCUUAACACAUGCAAGUCGAACGGAAAGGCCCUGCUUUUGUUGGGUGCUCGAGUGGCGAACGGGUGAGUAACACGUGAGUAACCUGCCCUUGACUUUGGGAUAACUUCAGGAAACUGGGGCUCAUACCGGAUAGGAGCUCCUGCUGCAUGGUGGGGGUUGGAAAGUUUCGGCGGUUGGGGAUGGACUCGCGGCUUAUCAGCUUGUUGGUGGGGUAGUGGCUUACCAAGGCUUUGACGGGUAGCCGGCCUGAGAGGGUGACCGGCCACAUUGGGACUGAGAUACGGCCCAGACUCCUACGGGAGGCAGCAGUGGGUAGUAUUGCAGAAUGGGCGGAAGCCUGAUGCAGCAACGCCGCGUGCGGGAUGACGGGCUUCGGGUUGUAAACCGCUUUCGCCGGAGACGAAGCGUGAGUGACGGUAAUGGGUAAAGAAGCACCGGCUAACUACGUG
rnacentral:rRNA from 1 species